rnacentral:rRNA from 1 species
GGGAAUAUUGCACAAUGGGCGCAAGCCUGAUGCAGCGACGCCGCGUGCGGGAUGGAGGCCUUCGGGUUGUAAACCGCUUUUGUUCAAGGGCAAGGCGCGGUCUUUGGCCGUGUUGAGUGGAUUGUUCGAAUAAGCACCGGCUAACUACGUGCCAGCAGCCGCGGUAAUACGUAGGGUGCAAGCGUUAUCCGGAUUUAUUGGGCGUAAAGGGCUCGUAGGCGGUUCGUCGCGUCCGGUGUGAAAGUCCAUCGCUUAACGGUGGAUCCGCGCCGGGUACGGGCGGGCUUGAGUGCGGUAGGGGAGACUGGAAUUCCCGGUGUAACGGUGGAAUGUGUAGAUAUCGGGAAGAACACCAAUGGCGAAGGCAGGUCUCUGGGCCGUUACUGACGCUGAGGAGCGAAAGCGUGGGGAGCGAACAGG